UACGAAGGGGGCUAGCGUUGCUCGGAAUCACUGGGCGUAAAGGGUGCGUAGGCGGGUCUUUAAGUCAGGGGUGAAAUCCCGGAGCUCAACUCCAGAACUGCCUUUGAUACUGAAGAUCUUGAGUUCGGGAGAGGUGAGUGGAACUGCGAGUGUAGAGGUGAAAUUCGUAGAUAUUCGCAAGAACACCAGUGGCGAAGGCGGCUCACUGGCCCGAUACUGACGCUGAGGUGCGAAAGCGUGGGGAGCAAACAGG
rnacentral:rRNA from 1 species